AAACAAGAAAAGAGAAUAAGUAAGGAGACCAAAUAAGGACUGAGUGCCCAAGGACGGGUCAAGUGCUUAGAAAAUCACCCAGCUGGUUAGGCUGGGCUGGGAGAAGGGCCAUAGCCGGACCCGAAAGGGGACCAUCAGAAAGACAGAGGCAGGCCAUUGAAGUAGCCAGUGACGGAGGUAAAAAUGAAAAAAAAAAAAAAAUAGAAGAUGGAAAAGGUGAGAGGCAGGAGAGGGAAAACCCAGAGGAGACACUGGCCCAGAAACCUUUUUAACUUUCUGUAAGAAUCUUCAAGGCCCCAAACUAGGCCAGGAGUCUGACUGACAUUUCUGAGCUCACCAGCUGCUGUUUCCUUGAGAGAAUUCUGACAGGAAGGCAUAGAAAUGCAAGCCAACACUGCUAGCACUGGGGAAAAAAAAAAAAAAAGAAAGAAAAAUCCAUGCUCUAAACACCUUAAUGGGGAUGAGGCUGCCAGGGAAGAAGGCACGGAGAGAAGGGACCCGCCGGCAACUUUUCCCCAGGCUUGGACCAGCGAUGCUUGGGCGGUACCCAGGAAUCCUCACCCUAGAGGCUACAGUCACCUCCUGCAGGAGCUGCCCCCUGCUCUGGCUGGUCAAACGGAACCAAGUCCGUCUUCCUGAGAGGUUUGGUCCCCUUCAACCAGCUAUAGCAGGGCUGGCAAAGAACAGUCCUUGGAGGAACAGAAGAGAUUCCACUGUGGCUGAAAUUACCUGCUAACAUUUCCCUUAAGAAACCAACUCUGAUUUUGUUAUCACCCUCUCAUGUUCCCAGGAAGGAAGAAGGGGGGAGGCCAGGGUUUAAAAAUGAGCCAGAUUACCAUGCCCAACACACAGAGCUCUGUGUCUGUGUCCACAACUAGACCUAUUUGCACGCUCUCGACACACAGUAAUAGUUCUAGAAUGGGAUGUGUUUUGGCCCUGGGCCAGCCAGGGGAAGAGUAUGAGCCCCAGAAGAUAGGGCUCCUGCUCCAAGGAAAGAAAUUGGGCAUAUGAGUCAGUUCCUGCUGUGGUUUAGAAGGUUAAGAACCCGGCUGUUAUUCAUGAGGAUGCGGGUUUGAUCCCUGGCCCCACUCAGUGGGUUAAAGCUCUGGCAUUGCUGCAAGCUGAGACAUAAGUUGCAAAUGAGGCUCAGAUUCAGUGUUGCCAUGGCUGUGGCAUAGGCCUGCAGCUGCAGCUCUGAUUGGACUCCUUGUCUAGGAACUUCCAUAUGCUACAGGUGCGGGCCUAAGAAGAAAAAAAG
rnacentral:lncRNA from 1 species